GCUUGCUACUUAACCUAGCGGCGGACGGGUGAGUAAUGCUUAGGAAUCUGCCUAUUAGUGGGGGACAACAUCUCGAAAGGGAUGCUAAUACCGCAUACGUCCUACGGGAGAAAGCAGGGGACCUUCGGGCCUUGCGCUAAUAGAUGAGCCUAAGUCGGAUUAGCUAGUUGGUGGGGUAAAGGCCUACCAAGGCGACGAUCUGUAGCGGGUCUGAGAGGAUGAUCCGCCACACUGGGACUGAGACACGGCCCAGACUCCUACGGGAGGCAGCAGUGGGGAAUAUUGGACAAUGGGGGGAACCCUGAUCCAGCCAUGCCGCGUGUGUGAAGAAGGCCUUUUGGUUGUAAAGCACUUUAAGCGAGGAGGAGGCUACCGAGAUUAAUACUCUUGGAUAGUGGACGUUACUCGCAGAAUAAGCACCGGCUAACUCUGUGCCAGCAGCCGCGGUAAUACAGAGGGUGCAAGCGUUAAUCGGAUUUACUGGGCGUAAAGCGCGCGUAGGUGGCCAAUUAAGUCAAAUGUGAAAUCCCCGAGCUUAACUUGGGAAUUGCAUUCGAUACUGGUUGGCUAGAGUAUGGGAGAGGAUGGUAGAAUUCCAGGUGUAGCGGUGAAAUGCGUAGAGAUCUGGAGGAAUACCGAUGGCGAAGGCAGCCAUCUGGCCUAAUACUGACACUGAGGUGCG
rnacentral:rRNA from 1 species